AAGGUCAUGUAUUUGGGGAAUGAAGAAACUCUGGGCCAUGGGGCAGCCAUGAAGAAAGCAGAGCUUGCUAACUGCCCUUCGGUGUCUCCAAACCUCAGUAAGUACUUGCUGGAUUUGUUCUGUUUAAGUACUACAAAAAAGUAUUUAGCUGAUGUGGAGAAAAGUGUGGAAAGCAGAAUAAUACUUAAUUAAGUUUUGCAGAACGACUAUACCUUGGAGUCAGCAUGUCAGUUUAAA
rnacentral:lncRNA from 1 species